AAAGUCUUAAGUUAAUAUAAACUAUAAAUUUUCAAAAUUUAAAAUAUAAAUUUAGAUUUUAAUAUUUA
rnacentral:tRNA from 1 species